ACUCACUAUGUAGCCCAGGGUGGUCUCCAACUCAGUUGGUCCUCCUGCCUCAGCCUCUUGAACGCUGGGAUCACAGGUGGGCGGCACCACACCCAGCUCCAGGCAGAAGUUUUAGGCAGAAGAGCCUGUAACCCGGGCUCUGGCCCUGUCCUUUCCACCUGUAAAUCGAGCUUCCUCCGCCCUCAAGGAAGCAGCAGCAGCGGCGGGCCCAGAUCUCAACUUGAAACACGAAGACGGCUUGUACCCUGACAUGGCCCCCAGACGGUCACCGGGCGGGCAGUGGGGACCUGCACCCCAGGUCCCCACCCUGAGCACCCAGCGCCCUCGCACACCUGCCUCCGACUCACAGGCUGGAACUUCUCUGAGUGCGUCCUGUUGUCUCUCUAAUAAACCCUUCCCCUGUCUCUUCCUGAAAUGCUUUUUCCACGAUGGGAGUCAGCAAACCUGCAAGCUCAUUCUCCACAGGGUGGGCAGGACCCUCAGUCCCCGCACAGUGGCAUUUUCUUGUGGCGAGCCAGCCAGGACGCACAGAGACAUCGCAGGCCACUUUGGCAAAUUCCACCAAAAGACGAGGCCCAACCCCUCUCUCCCACGGAAGCUCUCCUCGGUCAGCAAGCUCUGGUCCCGAUCCCGCGCUGGGCUGCAUCUGUAGCGGGCCCACCCGCCGGCCUUGCUCGGGGACCUACACCGGCUACUUGGUUCCUCCCCGACUCAGGCAAAUGAGACACGGAGUCAGCUCAACACGCGUGCUAGGAGAGGAGCCCCGAGCUUUGCUCACCUCACUUCUAGUCACCCAAACACAGGCUCGAGCAAUCAAGGCAACACAGGAUCCAUCUGCUUUCCAAUACCCACUCGUACAUCUGGUAAACAACUCACCCGCAGCUGUCUUAACUUUUCCCUAAUAUGCAGUCCGCCCCGCGUGCAGCCUUUUUCCUCUGGGAGCACAGAGGAGGCGAGUUAAGACUCAAUUCUCUGGCCUCCGACAAUCUAUAAGCAUUUUGUUAUUGUAUAAAUGAGAUAUACUUAUAUAUUGUGUUUAUCUGUGGUCAUUAAAUUUUCACAAGUUUCCCAAACUUGUAAAAGGUCUAACAAUGUCCUUUAACUCUUUUCAGUAUAGUUGUACCUUAGAAACCGGUUGAAGGAAUCUAAAUUUUGCCUUAAGAAUAAAAACUAAUAUGUAAAGAUUUCUAUGUAGCUGUGAUGCUAAUUAUUGC
rnacentral:lncRNA from 1 species